rnacentral:tRNA from 1 species
GGGCCGGUAGCUCAGUUGGGAGAGCGUAGCGUUCGCAAUGCUAAGGUCGUGAGUUCGAUCCUCAUCCGGUCCACCA